rnacentral:rRNA from 1 species
UACGGGGGGGGCAAGCGUUGUUCGGAAUUACUGGGCGUAAAGGGCUCGUAGGCGGCCAACUAAGUCAGACGUGAAAUCCCUCGGCUUAACUGAGGACGUGCGGAAGAAACUGCAAGGCUCGAGUCCGGGAGAGGGGGGUGGAAUUCCCAGUGUAGCGGUGAAAUGCGUAGAUAUUGGGAGGAACACCCGUGGCUAAGGCGGCUCUCUAGUACGGUACUGACGCUGAGACGCGAAAGCGUGGGGAGCGAACAGG